GAUGAACGCUAGCGGCAGGCUUAACACAUGCAAGUCGAGGGGUAUUGGUUUUCGGACCAAGAGACCGGCGCACGGGUGCGUAACGCGUAUGCAAUCUACCUUUUGCAGAGGGAUAGCCCAGAGAAAUUUGGAUUAAUACCUCAUAGUAUAGUACUUUGGCAUCAAGGAACUAUUAAAGUCACAACGGCAAAGAUGAGCAUGCGUCCCAUUAGCUAGUUGGUAAGGUAACGGCUUACCAAGGCUACGAUGGGUAGGGGUUCCGAGAGGGAGAUCCCCCCACACUGGUACUGAGACACGGACCAGACUCCUACGGGAGGCAACAGUGAGGAAUAUUGGACAAUGGGCGCAAGCCUGAUCCAGCCAUGCCGCGUGCAGGAUGACGUCCUAUGGAUUGUAAACUGCUUUUGACAGGAGAAACCCUUUNACGUGUGGAAGAUUGACGGUACUGUAAGAAUAAGGAUCGGCUAACUCCGUGCCAGCAGCCGCGGUAAUGU
rnacentral:rRNA from 1 species